UAGUUCCUCCUGUCCGGUGUCCCAAUCUUCACUUCUUCCUACCUACCCUUACCAGUAAACCUAACAAUUUUCAUCCCCUUGCAAAACUCCUCUACUUUUCAACCGAACUUCUUCCCUAACUGGGAACGCUGAUAUUUUCUCAAAACUUUACCUCUUCCAACUUCUUCAACUACACUGUGCCGGCGCGCGGUCAGAAAUUUCGAAACGCUGAAGGUCACGAAGUCCAAGUCCGCCGGUGGCAGUGUACCUAGCUCUGGGACAUCCUUGCACUGAUUCUGUGCACAACCUCCACACGAAGCGCGCAGAAAGUGAAAAGUGCUCAGCACAAAUCAUUGUUAUCUAAAAUGGACCACCGGUACUUCACCAUACUGUUAAUCACAGUAGUGCUGACGGCACGUGAAUGCACGGCUCAAGGUUUAACGUCAGAGUCGACAAUGAGAAUGGCACCUGAACUUGAAAAUUUUGCUGAAGGAGCGCUAAAAUUUAGGGUGUUUAUUCGACCGGAGUACAACAUAAUGGCUCUGGAUUUUCCGUAUGUGUCGACGACCG